rnacentral:rRNA from 2 species
GGGGUGACUGCGUACCUUUUGUAUAAUGGGUCAGCGACUUAUAUUCUGUAGCAAGGUUAACCGCAUAGGGGAGCCGAAGGGAAACCGAGUCUUAAUUGGGCGUUAAGUUGCAGGGUAUAGACCCGAAACCCGGUGAUCUAGCCAUGGGCAGGUUGAAGGUUGGGUAACACUAACUGGAGGACCGAACCGACUAAUGUUGAAAAAUUAGCGGAUGACCUGUGGCUGGGGGUGAAAGGCCAAUCAAACCGGGAGAUAGCUGGUUCUCCCCGAAAGCUAUUUAGGUAGCGCCUCGUGAACUCAUCUCCGGGGGUAGAGCACUGUUUCGGCUAGGGGGCCAUCCCGGCUUACCAACCCGAUGCAAACUGCGAAUACCGGAGAAUGUUAUCACGGGAGACACACGGCGGGUGCUAACGUCCGUCGUGAAGAGGGAAACAACCCAGACCGCCAGCUAAGGUCCCAAAGUCAUGGUUAAGUGGGAAACGAUGUGGGAAGGCCCAGACAGCCAGGAUGUUGGCUUAGAAGCAGCCAUCAUUUAAAGAAAGCGUAAUAGCUCACUGGUCGAGUCGGCCUGCGCGGAAGAUGUAACGGGGCUAAACCAUGCACCGAAGCUGCGGCAGCGACACUUUAGUGUUGUUGGGUAGGGGAGCGUUCUGUAAGCCGUUGAAGGUGUCCUGUGAGGGGUGCUGGAGGUAUCAGAAGUGCGAAUGCUGACAUAAGUAACGAUAAAGCGGGUGAAAAGCCCGCUCGCCGGAAGACCAAGGGUUCCUGUCCAACGUUAAUCGGGGCAGGGUGAGUCGACCCCUAAGGCGAGGCCGAAAGGCGUAGUCGAUGGGAAACGGGUUAAUAUUCCCGUACUUGGUGUUACUGCGAAGGGGGGACGGAGAAGGCUAUGUUGGCCGGGCGACGGUAGUCCCGGUUUAAGCGUGUAGGUGUGUGUUCCAGGCAAAUCCGGUUCACUUUAACACUGAGGCGUGAUGACGAGGCACCACGGUGCUGAAGCAACAAAUGCCCUGCUUCCAGGAAAAGCCUCUAAGCAUCAGGUAACAUCAAAUCGUACCCCAAACCGACACAGGUGGUCAGGUAGAGAAUACCAAGGCGCUUGAGAGAACUCGGGUGAAGGAACUAGGCAAAAUGGUGCCGUAACUUCGGGAGAAGGCACGCUGACACGUAGGUGAAGUGAUUUACUCACGGAGCUGAAGUCAGUCGAAGAUACCAGCUGGCUGCAACUGUUUAUUAAAAACACAGCACUGUGCAAACACGAAAGUGGACGUAUACGGUGUGACGCCUGCCCGGUGCCGGAAGGUUAAUUGAUGGGGUCAGCGCAAGCGAAGCUCCUGAUCGAAGCCCCGGUAAACGGCGGCCGUAACUAUAACGGUCCUAAGGUAGCGAAAUUCCUUGUCGGGUAAGUUCCGACCUGCACGAAUGGCGUAAUGAUGGCCAGGCUGUCUCCACCCGAGACUCAGUGAAAUUGAACUCGCUGUGAAGAUGCAGUGUACCCGCGGCAAGACGGAAAGACCCCGUGAACCUUUACUAUAGCUUGACACUGAACAUUGAGCCUUGAUGUGUAGGAUAGGUGGGAGGCUUUGAAGCGUGGACGCCAGUCUGCGUGGAGCCGACCUUGAAAUACCACCCUUUAAUGUUUGAUGUUCUAACGUGGACCCGUAAUCCGGGUUGCGGACAGUGUCUGGUGGGUAGUUUGACUGGGGCGGUCUCCUCCUAAAGAGUAACGGAGGAGCACGAAGGUUGGCUAAUCCUGGUCGGACAUCAGGAGGUUAGUGCAAUGGCAUAAGCCAGCUUGACUGCGAGCGUGACGGCGCGAGCAGGUGCGAAAGCAGGUCAUAGUGAUCCGGUGGUUCUGAAUGGAAGGGCCAUCGCUCAACGGAUAAAAGGUACUCCGGGGAUAACAGGCUGAUACCGCCCAAGAGUUCAUAUCGACGGCGGUGUUUGGCACCUCGAUGUCGGCUCAUCACAUCCUGGGGCUGAAGUAGGUCCCAAGGGUAUGGCUGUUCGCCAUUUAAAGUGGUACGCGAGCUGGGUUUAGAACGUCGUGAGACAGUUCGGUCCCUAUCUGCCGUGGGCGCUGGAGAAUUGAGGGGGGCUGCUCCUAGUACGAGAGGACCGGAGUGGACGCAUCACUGGUGUUCGGGUUGUCAUGCCAAUGGCACUGCCCGGUAGCUAAAUGCGGAAAAGAUAAGUGCUGAAAGCAUCUAAGCACGAAACUUGCCCCGAGAUGAGUUCUCCCUGAGACUUUGAGUCUCCUGAAGGAACGUUAAAGACGAUGACGUUGAUAGGCCGGGUGUGUAAGCGCAGCGAUGCGUUGAGCUAACCGGUACUAAUGAACCGUGAGGCUUAACCUUACAACGCCGAAG